GAAGGCAUAGAACUCCCGAACUAGUCCGGGGUAGAUCACCACAUCUAGGGAGCAAAGAUACUCCCAACCUUGCCUUCGGAUCCAUUCCCCCAAACGGAACCCUUCUUGAUCAAAGAACUCGGAAUGGAUCCUUCUCCCCGUUGUAACCGGUCUCCCCGCAAACUUUGCAAGUUGUACUGAGGGGGAGGGAGGAGGAGGUGGCUCUGCACGUGCCUCACGUUGUGGAGACACUGUAGAUAGCUCCGUAGCUUCUCUUUCCUCACGUUGGAUCCGUGAGACUCUUCCGGAUCUCUUGGCUACGGCUCUUUUGGGUCACAUUUCUCCAAGAUCUUGAAGUAAUCUAGCAUUUGGAGUUGAUUGGAGGAGUUUGGAGAGUGGAGAAUAGAGUUUUCAGAAGAGGACAAGGGCAAACAGUGCCCUAAAAAAGCUCACGGGUCUUCCUUUUAACAGUGGGGUCCCGACGUUGGGUCGACUCAACGUUGGGUCGACCUUAUUCUGGGUUGGGUCGACCCAAGUUCAGAAUUUUUUUCUUUCUCUUCCUUUUUGCUUCUAAAAAUUUUUCUUGCUUCCAAUCCUUACAAAUUCUUUCUAGGACAAUGAUACAUGAGUAAGGAAUCUAUAUAUGACAAUUUUGACUCAUGUUUCAUGAGUUUUUAGAAAUGGGAGGAAUGUAUCAUGAGACUGCUUGCUCCCUUUUAUAUCUCUUCAAUAGAAAGGAUCAUAUAUGCCUAAUUCCCUCCUUAGCGUGCAGAAUCUAUCUUCACUUAAGGGUUUUGUGAAUUUGUCGGCUAA
rnacentral:lncRNA from 1 species